AUUGAACGCUGGCGGCAGGCUUAACACAUGCAAGUCGAACGAUGAUUAUCUAGCUUGCUAGAUAUGAUUAGUGGCGGACGGGUGAGUAACAUUUAGGAAUCUGCCUAGUAGUGGGGGAUAGCUCGGGGAAACUCGAAUUAAUACCGCAUACGACCUACGGGUGAAAGGGGGCGCAAGCUCUUGCUAUUAGAUGAGCCUAAAUCAGAUUAGCUAGUUGGUGGGGUAAAGGCCCACCAAGGCGACGAUCUGUAACUGGUCUGAGAGGAUGAUCAGUCACACCGGAACUGAGACACGGUCCGGACUCCUACGGGAGGCAGCAGUGGGGAAUAUUGGACAAUGGGGGCAACCCUGGUCCAGCCAUGCCGCGUGUGUGAAGAAGGCCUUUUGGUUGUAAAGCACUUUAAGCAGGGAGGAGAGGCUAAUGGUUAAUACCCAUUAGAUUAGACGUUACCUGCAGAAUAAGCACCGGCUAACUCUGUGCCAGCAGCCGCGGUAACACAGAGGGUGCGAGCGUUAAUCGGAAUUACUGGGCGUAAAGCGAGUGUAGGUGGCUCAUUAAGUCACAUGUGAAAUCCCCGGGCUUAACCUGGGAACUGCAUGUGAUACUGGUGGUGCUAGAAUAUGUGAGAGGGAAGUAGAAUUCCAGGUGUAGCGGUGAAAUGCGUAGAGAUCUGGAGGAAUACCGAUGGCGAAGGCAGCUUCCUGGCAUAAUAUUGACACUGAGAUUCGAAAGCGUGGGUAGCAAACAGGAUUAGAUACCCUGGUAGUCCACGCCGUAAACGAUGUCUACUAGCCGUUGGGGUCCUUGAGACUUUAGUGGCGCAGUUAACGCGAUAAGUAGACCGCCUGGGGAGUACGGCCGCAAGGUUAAAACUCAAAUGAAUUGACGGGGGCCCGCACAAGCGGUGGAGCAUGUGGUUUAAUUCGAUGCAACGCGAAGAACCUUACCUGGUCUUGACAUAGUGAGAAUCCUGCAGAGAUGCGGGAGUGCCUUCGGGAAUUCACAUACAGGUGCUGCAUGGCUGUCGUCAGCUCGUGUCGUGAGAUGUUGGGUUAAGUCCCGCAACGAGCGCAACCCUUUUCCUUAUUUGCCAGCGGGUUAAGCCGGGAACUUUAAGGAUACUGCCAGUGACAAACUGGAGGAAGGCGGGGACGACGUCAAGUCAUCAUGGCCCUUACGACCAGGGCUACACACGUGCUACAAUGGUAGGUACAGAGGGUUGCUACACAGCGAUGUGAUGCUAAUCUCAAAAAGCCUAUCGUAGUCCGGAUUGGAGUCUGCAACUCGACUCCAUGAAGUCGGAAUCGCUAGUAAUCGCAGAUCAGAAUGCUGCGGUGAAUAAGUUCCCGGGCCU
rnacentral:rRNA from 1 species